AGUGAACGCUGGCGGUAGGCCUAACACAUGCAAGUCGAACGGCAGCACAGCAAGAGCUUGCUCUUACGGGUGGCGAGUGGCGGACGGGUGAGAAAUACAUCGGAAUCUACUUUUUCGUGGGGGAUAACGUAGGGAAACUUACGCUAAUACCGCAUACGACCUACGGGUGAAAGCAGGGGAUCUUCGGACCUUGCGCGAUUGAAUGAGCCGAUGUCGGAUUAGCUAGUUGGCGGGGUAAAGGCCCACCAAGGCGACGAUCCGUAGCUGGUCUGAGAGGAUGAUCAGCCACACUGGAACUGAGACACGGUCCAGACUCCUACGGGAGGCAGCAGUGGGGAAUAUUGGACAAUGGGCGCAAGCCUGAUCCAGCCAUACCGCGUGGGUGAAGAAGGCCUUCGGGUUGUAAAGCCCUUUUGUUGGGAAAGAAAAGCAGCAGGUUAAUACCCCGCUGUUCUGACGGUACCCAAAGAAUAAGCACCGGCUAACUUCGUG
rnacentral:rRNA from 1 species